rnacentral:rRNA from 1 species
AGCGAACGCUGGCGGCAGGCUUAACACAUGCAAGUCGAGCGCCCCGCAAGGGGAGCGGCAGACGGGUGAGUAACACGUGGGAACGUACCCUUUGGUUCGGAACAACCCAGGGAAACUUGGGCUAAUACCGGAUAAGUCCGCGAGGAGAAAGAUUUAUUGCCGAAGGAUCGGCCCGCGUCUGAUUAGCUAGUUGGUGUGGUAACGGCGCACCAAGGCGACGAUCAGUAGCUGGUCUGAGAGGAUGAUCAGCCACACUGGGACUGAGACACGGCCCAGACUCCUACGGGAGGCAGCAGUGGGGAAUAUUGGACAAUGGGGGCAACCCUGAUCCAGCCAUGCCGCGUGAGUGAUGAAGGCCCUAGGGUUGUAAAGCUCUUUCGGUGGGGAAGAUAAUGACGGUACCCACAGAAGAAGCCCCGGCUAACUUCGUG